rnacentral:rRNA from 1 species
CCCUUAGAUGUUCUGGGCUGCACGCGCGCUACACUGUCGGAUUCAGCGAGUCAUAUCCUUAACCGAAAGGUUUGGGUAAUCUUUUGAAAGUCCGACGUGAUGGGGAUUGAACAUUGCAAUUAUUGAUCAUGAACGAGGAAUUCCUAGUAAGCGCGAGUCAUCAGCUCGCGUUGAUUACGUCCCUGCCCUUUGUACACACCGCCCGUCGCUACUACCGAUUGAAUGGUUUAGUGAGAUCUUCGGAUUGGCGCCUACGCGGCUUCUCUGAGGCCACGCUGGAUGCCGAAAAGUUGCUCAAACUGUAUCAUUUAGAGGAAGUAAAAGUCGUAACA